CAGCAGGACAAUAGGCCCUUGUUCCUCAGCUAACCAUCCACACGAAGUGUUCUUCCUCACAAGAGCAGCUUACAAGAACAAAUCAGCCUUGCCUCAAAGCUCGAAGUGCUUUCAGUGGGCAACAGCACACAAUCUAAACCUUCGGUGAAAAGCAGCAGCAGGCAAUAGUAAGAAAAGCUAGUGCACUGCCAAGAAAGAAUGCCAAACCCUGAUGUCAGCUUUUGGUCUCGAAGAUGAUUUACCCAAUAAAUGUAUUCUGGAACCUGCUUGUUGAUAGUGUGUUAUGCAGUGUGUGACCAACAGAAUAUAUUACUUAAUAGGUCAAUUAGGAAAUGCAACUUUUCACUAUUAAAAAGACAAAAUCUUAUCAGUAGUUAAUACUAGCUACUGGGGAGGCUGAGGUCAGAGGGUGAUGUGGGAGUGUCAUAUAUCAAUCUGUUGAUUUCAUUGGUUAAGUAAUAAACACACUGCUUGGCCUCAUAGGUUAAAGCAUUGGUGGGAGGAAUAAACAGAAUAGAAUUCUGGGCAGAAGAGAAAGGGAGGUCAGACUCUGCUCUGCUCCCGGACACCAUGGAUGGAGGCUAGAAUCUUCCCGGUGGACAGAAGAUCAAGCCAUAUUCAAAAGUAGAAUAAAUGAUACGCUGAGGACCCAGCUCUCCGACAGAGUGCUUGCCUAGCAAUCCCAGAGCACUGGGACUGGUCUCAAGCACUGACUGGCAUGACUGCAGUGCCAUAGAAAGAACGAACACAGUUCUAGAGUGAUGGAGGGGCAACCAUGUGGUGCAGUAACAGCCACCACAGCAGGAGGAACAAGAGUGACAAGUCACACUGCCGAAGCUUUUACUGAACAGGACUACAGUGUGAUUCUUAUGCACAUUUUAUGAACCAAGAGCCAAGAGCAACUCACAAGGGAAAGUGACUCUACUUCUACAUGCUUGGGAGACAGAAACCGAAAUUACCCAAUAGAUGACAAUCAGAACCUGAGAAAGGAGUCUCUAAUUCUGAGGACAGUGCUUUCACUUCUGAUCUCCAUUCUUUAUCCGUGAGAAUGGACUCCCUUACUCCAUGCACUUGCACUAUCUACAGUCUCCAGGAAUGUAACUUCACUAGUUAAGCCUGCCUCUUUCAUCACUGGAGAAAGAGAGAGCAACAAAGAAACCAAACUCCAAGAAAGAAACCAAAUGUAGCUGACAACAAAGUGCUGGGCUGAAACCUGACAUGAACCUUCAAAUGGCAACGUGAGGGGAAAGCCAGAAAUACUGCCAAAGGUCUGAAAUCUCAGCACUUGGGAGGCUGGGGCAGGAGGAUCAACCAAGUUCAAAGCCAGCCUGAACUGCAGAAUGAGACUUAAUUCAAAACCACUAGGGAAAAUAAGGCAAGACCUGGAUAGUAAGAAAGGCAUGCUCAACUACAGGGAGGUGGAGAAAUGAGGGGACCUUUUACCAAAAUUCCUUUGCUGUUAAACCUUGCACGGUCUAAAGCCAAGUUUUAGUCAAACCAUUUUAUGCAAAAUUCAGGGUUUAGACACGACUAAUAAAGUCAUCCAACAUAUAUGUCUUCAUUUUAAAAUAUGUACGGAUGUCUGUAUGUUCGUCUGUGUGAGUGUAUGCUGCCCGUGUGCCAGUGCCUGAAGAAGUCAGAAGAGGGCACUGGAUACUCCCAGCUCUCUAUAGAUCUUAACGUAAAAAUACUAUCUUCAAGACAGUAAAGAGCUCCCAGCACUGGGGAGGUAGAGGCAGCCUUGUCUACAUAGUGAGUUCUAGGCCAUCCAAGGUUACUUAUUGAGAAUCUGUCUCAAAAAACCAAAGGGAAACUAAGAAAAAGAGAAAAAAGAAACUAAGGAGCCAGAGCAGACUCAGUAAGGAAAAGUGCUUCCUGUGCAGGACUGAGGACUUGAGUUCAAUCUCCAGAUCCACUGUGUAUGGAGAAGAAAUCACCCUCUUGACCUCCAUACAUGUGCCAUGGGACCAACGUGCCUGCCCCCCACAAAGCCACUACUAAUAAAUAAUAAAAAAAUUAAAAAGAAAGUAAAUAGGCCAGGUGUGGUACAUACUCCCAGCACUCUGUGGAGACAGGCAGGGAAAUUACCACAAGUGCAAGGCUAGCUCAGUCAACACAGCAAGUUCUAAGCUAGCCAGUGAAGACCCUGUCUCAGAAAAAAAAGAGAAGCAAGCAGGUAGGUCGCAUUUAUUCUAGAAAUAGAUUUUUUUGCUUUUCCACUCUCAAGUCUCAA